AUUGAACGCUGGCGGCAGGCCCAACACAUGCAAGUCGAGCGGAUGAAGGGAGCUUGCUCCUGGAUUCAGCGGCGGACGGGUGAGUAAUGCCUAGGAAUCUGCCUGGUAGUGGGGGAUAACGUCCGGAAACGGGCGCUAAUACCGCAUACGUCCUGAGGGAGAAAGUGGGGGAUCUUCGGACCUCACGCUAUCAGAUGAGCCUAGGUCGGAUUAGCUAGUUGGUGGGGUAAAGGCCUACCAAGGCGACGAUCCGUAACUGGUCUGAGAGGAUGAUCAGUCACACUGGAACUGAGACACGGUCCAGACUCCUACGGGAGGCAGCAGUGGGGAAUAUUGGACAAUGGGCGGAAGCCUGAUCCAGCCAUGCCGCGUGUGUGAAGAAGGUCUUCGGAUUGUAAAGCACUUUAAGUUGGGAGGAAGGGCAGUAAGUUAAUACCUUGCUGUUUUGACGUUACCAACAGAAUAAGCACCGGCUAACUUCGUG
rnacentral:rRNA from 1 species